rfam:Felis catus isolate Cinnamon breed Abyssinian chromosome A1, whole genome shotgun sequence.
GCCUGGGUGGCUCAGUCAGUUGAGCGUCUGACUUCGGCUCAGGUCAUGAUCUCGCAGUGAGUUCGAGCCCCACAUCAGGCU